UACGUAGGGUGCGAGCGUUGUCCGGAAUUACUGGGCGUAAAGAGCUCGUAGGUGGUUUGUCGCGUCGUCUGUGAAAUUCCGGGGCUUAACUCCGGGCGUGCAGGCGAUACGGGCAAUACUUGAGUGCUGUAGGGGAGACUGGAAUUCCUGGUGUAGCGGUGAAAUGCGCAGAUAUCAGGAGGAACACCAAUGGCGAAGGCAGGUCUCUGGGCAGUAACUGACGCUGAGGAGCGAAAGCGAUGGGUAGCGAACAGGAUUA
rnacentral:rRNA from 1 species